rnacentral:lncRNA from 1 species
GGGAGCUGCCCCCGCCCCCGAGCCGCGAGCCCCGCGCCGGGCCGGGGAGUCCCCGGCGCCACACGCCCCCACCACCCCCAUCUUAGCGCCCCCCACCCUCUAUGGAGACAUUUCAACCAGGGAGAAGGGAAGUCCUGCCCUUGCCCCUCGCCCCCGCCCUGCUCCUCCAACAGGGGAGACUUCUGUCCAAACCUUGGAAAGAAACGAGAUGCCAGGCCUAGCGCCUUCGGGGAUCCUCUCUGGACAAGGCCACAGGGUGAAAACACCAGCACUUCCUGGAGGCGUUUGACCGGGACUUGGGAGGGCAGCUGAGAAGUGCCUGACCAUUCUCAAGGAGCUGCGUGGAUUCCAGACAUCUCUGGGCUGGUCUCUGGACCGGGAUGGGGGACCCAGAGGUGGAGCCGAACACACAAGCAGCACUUGAGGGCUCCGAGGGUGGCAAGGAGAGAAGUUCCUGCUCUGGUACAGCCCUGGGACCUUGAAAGACUGAAGCUAAGAAGUGCUGGAGACAGCAGUUGCUUUAGCCACAGGCUGUGUAGACCACCUGAGGAUGAGCUGGGGGUCUGUUUUGUGCACCUUGGAACCCAUCGGAUCCCUCCAAUGACACAUUUGUCCAGAGCAAGACAAGAUCACACUUUGACAGCCCUCUGUCAAGAUCCUUGCUCCAAAUCUCCAGACUAGCAGCCAGGAGUCUCCAUGCUGUUCUGAAGAAGCAGAUUCCUCACCCACCCUUCAACUCCUUCCCAGGAGGUAAUCCUCCUCCAAAUCUCUGGAAAAGAUACACCUCCUCUUCUCUGAUAAAGGCUGGGGGGUGAUGCCCCUCCCCCAGUUUCCCAAUAAAGCUAUGCAAGACAGGGGCAAGGGAUCUCACGGCCUGUUUUUGCUACAAAAACCCUUUUUCGGAAAAAAUAAUAAAGAAAGGAAUCAGCCAAUCCCUCCUCGAUGCCA